CCCACGUAUGGAUGUAACUCACGGAAACCUUCGAAUUAACAAAGGAUAAAAUGUGGACGUUUUAUUUAUCAGUCAUUUUUUUGUCUGUCAUACAGAUACAACAUGUUUUAUCUACAGGAUGUAAUAUUGUGUCGCUGACGUCUACCUCAGCAUCAACACUGAACGUGGUGUGGGACACCUACACCGGAGCUUCUGUUUAUCUACUGGACUUGAGGGUUGUGAACUCGACCAGUGUCGCCCCUGUGGUGGUUAUGCAGUCAGCACCCAGCACACAGAGGCUGAUUCAGGGCUUGAGACCUGGA